rnacentral:rRNA from 1 species
AUACGGAGGGUGCAAGCGUUAUCCGGAAUCAUUGGGUUUAAAGGGUCCGUAGGCGGACUAUUAAGUCAGAGGUGAAAUCCCACAGCUCAACUGUGGAACUGCCUUUGAUACUGGUAGUCUUGAGUUAUAUGGAAGUAGAUAGAAUGUGUAGUGUAGCGGUGAAAUGCAUAGAUAUUACACAGAAUACCGAUUGCGAAGGCAGUCUACUACGUAUAUACUGACGCUAUGGGACGAAAGCGUGGGGAGCGAACAGGAUUAGAAACCCGGGUAGUCC